GAAGGGUCUUAGGAAUAGUUUCGGUUUCUAGGGAAACCUUACCUACAUCCGCCGGUUCCACAGCUUCUCUAUCUUCUUUCUCUCCUCUUUGCCGGUUUCCCCCUCUGAUUAUUUGCCUGCUAGAGAAACAAAGAAAGAAAGCAACAUACUAGGGUAAGAAAGAGAGAGACUAGGGUGAGAAAGAGAGAGACGGGGAUUGUUUUCUCCGAUAAGGGUGGUCGUGGCGAGACGAUGGUGGUUGAUAGCGGCAACGGCCGCCUCCAGAGGCGGAUGCAAGACGCCAUGGUAACAUGGAGACACAAAUCUGGUAGAUAAAGGAGAGAAUCUGGAGGUGGGCACGGUAGACCACCGGCGGAGCGUAGCGGCUGAUAACGCAGAAGGCGGUUGUUGAUGCCAUGCAUCCGGCAGCAGCGGCGAGCGGAGCUCGCAAUGUUUUGGAGUAGAAUAAGCGGUGUUGAAGGUUCACAAGCACUGUCGGAGACCUGGUUGCAUGAUCAUUGUAUCAAGGGACGGUGGAUUGACUUUUCGAAAAAGUCAGCUAGGGUUCCGGCGAGAUUCCGGUAACCCGGUUCAGUAGUUUGCAGUGAAUUAAACCGAAGUAAAAGCGUAGUGGAAUGUUUUGGGUCGGGGAACAGGACCAUGUUUUCGGUGGACAAUUAUUGUACCAUUUAGCCACUAACAGAAGAUCAUAAGUAAUGGAACUGGAAUGUUACAAUGUGAUAAUAAUGUCAUAUGAGACUGGGGCUAGGUUAGAGUGUCAGGUAAUACAAAGGAAAAAAUGGAAAUGGCAAGUUUGAACAUGGUUCUAGCACCACAAGAAGAAUGAAGAGAUAUCCGUGAAGUUGGUAAGGCAACAGUUAUGGAACUGGUUAGAUCUGAACCUACCAGCAAGUGAGUUCAAAUUGAAUAAAAUUGCAACUCCAAAAGCGAAUAUGUUUGCAUAGAGAACACUAGACAGCGAAGAUUCCUAUUGCGAAAGCUUUGGCAAAUAGAGGCAUACCAAUUCAGAAUUCACUAUGUACGUUCUGUGGAGCGGUUGACGAGUAGUGCUGGUCAGAUGCACGUUCGCAGACAUGGUCUGGCAGCAGCUAUUCUGCUGGAUGAAAGUCCCGACAGGCAACCGGUUUGACUCGGUGGGUAGGUGAAAAUUAUACAUGUGGUGUAUCUAUUAGAGCUUUGGAGGGUACGGUGUUGGAGAAAUCAGAAGAAAUUUGACAUCGAUUUACAAGGUUGUUGAAGAAAUAAAGCAAACGACUUUCGAUUGUUUAAGGCAUAGAUCAAGAUUCACAAGCAUAACAUGGGAAGAAUGGAGAAGAUUUAAUGCAAUUCUAUAGAUUAGAGUGUGGAAUGUAAUGUUAUGAUGUUGCUGUACAAUUUGGCGAAUAUAGCAACUUGCUGUUUGGUUAUAUUUGAAUAAAAUCUCCAUUGACCUUUAAAAAUA